CUGCCAGUCUCCAAGAUGCUCACCGCGGUGAGCAGACUCCAGCGCAGACCCCAAGGUUAAUUCAAUGUCUCCGUUUGUCUCUGGGUUUCCCCCUCCGCCUCC